rnacentral:rRNA from 1 species
AUGAGUAAAUUACUUGUCAUAGCCCUCCUGCUGCUGCCUCUGAUCAACCACGGAAUCUACUUGGCCACGGCAUGGGAUGAUCAAGAUUUCUUCAAACACUGCCCACCAUCCCAGUGCAGCCAACAUGGCCCAGAGAUCAGGUACCCUUUCUGCCUUGAAUCCAGCAAUACAUCAUCAUCAUCAUGUGGAUGCGGCGAAAGAUCAAUCAGGAAGUUAGCAUGCUCUGGUCAAGACACCAUCCUAGUUCACCAAGUUCUUGGCACAUACAGUGUCAGCGCCAUAGAUUACAGGCGUUCUUCCAUGAAGCUCAUCCCGCUUGUAGAUCCCUGUUUAGUGCUCCAGCAGAAGCUCAUCAUCUCCAGAAGCUCAUCAUCUCCACAGGUUGAUGUUAUCAACAAUGCGGGGCCAAGUCUUGACCGAUAUUUCUUUUGGAGUUCUGCAACCCUAGUACACUGUUCAAGAGAGUUUGCACCUGGUGCUGCCGAUGGGAUUGCUGGCCCAGUCUCCUGCCUUAGCAACACAACCCACUUCUUUUAUUUGGUGGAUGGUUAUAAAGACAUGUCUAUUCUUCCGUUGGACUGCAAGGUCGUCCCAGUCUCAGUUGGUGUCGGUGGCGGUCUGAUACCCAUGUACAUGUUUGACACACACUUCUCACCGUCCUUCAAGGAAAGAGCAGAAAGAAUGCUCAGUUUUGCGGAGACGACAGUGUAUUUGUAUGAUUACUAUUGCGUAGAUUGUGAACGCAGUGGGGGACGCUGCGCAUUCAGCUCACAAAGGGAUAGACCAUUCUGCAUGCCCGGCCCACAUGGUUCACGUAUCAAAGUCAUUGCAGCUACAUCAUCAGUGGCUGCAUUUGUUGUUCUUUUGGUGACGGUGGCCACUGUGCUUUAUCUUUCACUCAAGACAAGAUAUAAUGCGGAGAUACAUUUGAAGGUUGAAAUGUUCCUCAAGACAUAUGGAACAUCAAAACCCACGAGGUACACUUUCUCUGAAGUUAAGAAGAUGGCAAGACGGUUUAAGGAAAAAGUAGGGCAAGGAGGAUUUGGAAGUGUGUACAAAGGCGAGCUACCAAAUGGAGUGCCUAUAGCAGUCAAGAUGCUAGAGAACUCUACAGGAGAGGGAGAAGCAUUCAUCAACGAAGUUGCAACCAUCGGACUAAUCCACCAUGCCAAUAUUGUCCGCCUCCUGGGAUUUUGUUCUGAGGGAAUGAGACGGGCUCUUAUUUACGAAUUCAUGCCUAACGAGUCACUAGAGAAAUACAUAUUCUCUGAUGACGCUAAUAUUUUUCAGCAUCUUCUAGUACCAGACAAGCUGCUAGAUAUUGCUUUAGGCAUCGCCAGAGGAAUGGAGUACUUGCAUCAAGGGUGCAAUCAGCGCAUCCUCCACUUUGACAUCAAGCCUCACAAUAUCCUGCUGGACUACAACUUCAAUCCAAAGAUCUCAGACUUUGGCCUGGCGAAGUUGUGUGCAAGGGACCAAAGCAUCGUGACCUUAACUGCAGCAAGAGGUACAAUGGGGUAUAUUGCACCAGAGCUAUACUCUCGGAACUUUGGGGGAGUUUCGUACAAGUCAGAUGUGUACAGUUUCGGCAUGCUGGUGCUAGAAAUGGUGAGCGGGAGGAGGAAUUCAGACCCAAGAAUCGGCAGCCAGGAUGAUGUUUACCUCCCAGAGUGGAUCUACGAGAAAGUGAUCAAUGGUGAGGAGUUGGCUCUUACCUUGGAAGCAACUCAAGAAGAGAAUGAGAAGGUGAGGAAGCUGGCGAUGGUGGCACUGUGGUGCAUCCAGUGGAACCCGAGAAACCGUCCGUCGAUGACGAAGGUCGUUAACAUGCUAACAGGGAGGUUGCAGAAUCUGCAGAUGCCACCAAAGCCUUUCGUCUCAUCUGAAAAUGAACUUAUGCCAUAA